rnacentral:rRNA from 1 species
UACGUAGGGAGCAAGCGUUGUUCGGAUUUACUGGGCGUAAAGGGCGCGUAGGCGGCAAAUUAAGUCAGCUGUGAAAUCUCCGAGCUUAACUCGGAACUGUCAGCUGAUACUGAUCUGCUAGAGUGCGGAGGGGGCAAUCGGAAUUCUUGGUGUAGCGGUGAAAUGCGUAGAUAUCGGGAAGAACACCAGUGGCGAAAGCGCUCUACUGGGCCAUAACUGACACUGAGGGACGAAAGCUAGGGGAGCGAAAGGG